rnacentral:misc_RNA from 1 species
GAUGAAGAACGCAGCGAAAUGCGAUAAGUAAUGUGAAUUGCAGAAUUCAGUGAAUCAUCGAAUCUUUGAACGCACAUUGCGCCCCCUGGUAUUCCGGGGGGCAUGCCUGUUCGAGCGUCAUUUCACCACUCAAGCCUCGCUUGGUAUUGGGCAACGCGGUCCGCCGCGUGCCUCAAAUCGUCCGGCUGGGUCUUCUGUCCCCUAAGCGUUGUGAAACUAUUCGCUAAAGGGUGUUCGGGAGGCUACGCCGUAAAACAACCCCAUUUCUAAGGUUGACCUCGGAUCAGGUAGGGAUACCCGCUGAACUUAAGCAUAUCAAUAAGCGGAGGA